rnacentral:rRNA from 1 species
CAUGCAAGUCGAACGAACCUUCGGGUUAGUGGCGGACGGGUGAGUAACGCGUGAGAAUCUGCCCUCAGGAGGGGGAUAACAGUUGGAAACGACUGCUAAUACCCCAUAUGCCGAGAGGUGAAAUGAAUUUCGCCUGGGGAUGAGCUCGCGUCUGAUUAGCUUGUUGGUGGGGUAAUAGCCUACCAAGGCUUCGAUCAGUAGCUGGUCUGAGAGGACGAUCAGCCACACUGGGACUGAGACACGGCCCAGACUCCUACGGGAGGCAGCAGUGGGGAAUUUUCCGCAAUGGGCGAAAGCCUGACGGAGCAACGCCGCGUGAGGGAUGGAGGCCUUUGGGCUGUAAACCCCUUUUCUCAAGGAAGAAGAUCUGACGGUACUUGAGGAAUAAGCCACGGCUAAUUCCGUGCCAGCAGCCGCGGUAAUACGGGAGUGGCAAGCGUUAUCCGGAAUUAUUGGGCGUAAAGCGUCCGCAGGCGGCCGUUUAAGUCUGUUGUUAAAUCGUGGAGCUCAACUCCAUCACGGCAAUGGAAACUGUUCGGCUUGAGUAUGGUAGGGGCAGAGGGAAUUUCCGGUGUAGCGGUGAAAUGCGUAGAUAUCGGGAAGAACACCAGUGGCGAAAGCGCUCUGCUGGGCCAUUACUGACG